rnacentral:rRNA from 1 species
CCUACGGGUGGCAGCAGUGAGGAAUAUUGGUCAAUGGUCGUAAGCCUGAACCAGCCAAGCCGCGUGAGGGAUGAAGGUUCUAUGGAUCGUAAACCUCUUUUGUCAGGGAACAAAGUCUGGGACGUGUCCCGUGAUGUAUGUACCUUAAGAAAAAGGAUCGGCUAACUCCGUGCCAGCAGCCGCGGUAAUACGGAGGAUCCGAGCGUUAUCCGGAUUUAUUGGGUUUAAAGGGUGCGCAGGCGGUCUUGUAAGUCAGCGGUUAAAGUCCGGGGGUCAACCCCAGCAUGGCCGUUGAAACUGGCAGUCUUGAGUUGGAGAGAAGCAGGCGGAAUGCGUGGUGUAGCGGUGAAAUGCAUAGAUAUCGCGCAGAACUCCGAUUGCGAAGGCAGCAUGCCGGGUCAAGACUGACGCUGAGGCACGAAAGCGUGGGGAUCAAACAGGAUUAGAUACCCUUGUAGUC